UGCCUGAAUCGCUGAGAGGAGGUGCAUGGCCGUCGCCAGUUCGUACUGUGAAGCAUCCUGUUAAGUCAGGCAACGAGCGAGACCCGUGCCCACUGUUACCAGCAUAUUCUCCGGAAUGAUGGGUACUCUGUGGGGACCGCCUAUGUUAAAUAGGAGGAAGGUGCGGGCCACGGUAGGUUAGUAUGCCCCGAAUCUCCCGGGCUACACGCGGGCUACAAUGGAUGGGACAAUGGGUCCCUCCCCCGAAAGGGGCUGGUAAUCUCACAAACCCAUUCGUAGUUCGGAUCGAGGGCUGUAACUCGCCCUCGUGAAGCUGGAAUCCGUAGUAAUCGCGUUUCAAUAUAGCGCGGUGAAUACGUCCCUGCUCCUUGCACACACCGCCCGUCAAACCACCCGAGUGAGGUAUGGGUGAGGGCACGG
rnacentral:rRNA from 1 species